rnacentral:rRNA from 1 species
UACGAAGGGGGGCUAGCGUUGUUCGGAAUUACUGGGCGUAAAGGGCGCGCAGGCGGCCCUCCAAGUCAGGCGUGAAAGCCCCGGGCUCAACCCGGGAACAGCGCUUGAGACUGGGGGGCUUGAGUUCGGGAGAGGAGAGUGGAAUUCCCAGUGUAGAGGUGAAAUUCGUAGAUAUUGGGAAGAACACCAAUGGCGAAGGCAGCUCACUGGGACGGUAUUGACGCUGAGACGGCGAAAGCGUGGGGAGCAAACAGG